UUCCGGUUGAUCCUGCCGGACCCGACUGCUAUUUGGGUGAGGAUAAGCCAUGCGAGUCGUAUGGGAUACCUAAAAUUUCCAUGGCAGACUGCUCAGUAACACAUGAUCAACUUACCCUAUAGAGAAAAAUACCCUCGGGAAACUGAGGAUAAUGUUUCAUAGUUGAAAAGGCUUGGAAAAGUUUUUCAACGAAAUGGGUUAGAAAAAUGGUUCUUAUCUGCUAUAGGAUAGGAUCGUGGUCGAUUAUGGUUGUUGGUGAGGUAAAGGCUCACCAAGCCGAUAAUCGAUAGGGGCCGUGAGAGCGGGAGCCCCGAGAUGGGUACUGAGACAACGACCCAGGCCUUACGAGGCGCAGCAGGCGCGAAACCUCCGCAAUACACGAAAGUGUGACGUGGUUACCCAAAGUGUUCAAUAUUGAACUGUGGCAGGUGAGUAAUGUCCCCUGCUAGAAAGGAGAGGGCAAGGCUGGUGCCAGCCGCCGCGGUAAAACCAGCUCUUCAAGUGGUCGGGAUAAUUAUUGGGCUUAAAGUGUCCGUAGCCGGUUUAGUAAGUUCCUGGUAAAAUCGGGUAGCUUAACUAUCCGUAUGCUAGGAAUACUGCUAUACUAGAGGGCGGGAGAGGUCUGAGGUACUACAGGGGUAGGGGUGAAAUCUUAUAAUCCUUGUAGGACCACCAGUGGCGAAGGCGUCAGACUGGAACGCGCCUGACGGUGAGGGACGAAAGCCAGGGGAGCGAACCGGAUUAGAUACCCGGGUAGUCCUGGCCGUAAACGAUGCAUACUAGGUGAUGGUACGGCCAUGAGCCGUGUCAGUGCCGUAGGGAAACCGUUAAGUGUGCCGCCUGGGAAGUACGGUCGCAAGGCUAAAACUUAAAGGAAUUGGCGGGGGAGCACCACAAGGGGUGAAGCCUGCGGUUUAAUUGGAUUCAACGCCCGGAAAGGGCGAAUUUCAGCAACACCUGGGCGGGCCAGUUUACUAGUGGAUCCGAGGCUCGGUACCAAGCUUGAUGCAUAGGCUUGAGUAAUCUAACGCGUCACUUAAUUAGCUGGCGUAAUCAUGUACCAAGGGUUUUCUGCGCUGCGACAGAGGGAA
rnacentral:rRNA from 1 species